rnacentral:rRNA from 1 species
CGGAGGAAAAGAAACUAACAAGGAUUCCCCUAGUAGCGGCGAGCGAAGCGGGAAAAGCCCAAUAUGAAAAUCCAGUUUACUGGAGUUGUAUCGUCUUCUUUUGGGGUUUCAGUGCGAGUAAGUAGCAUGGAAAUGCUCACCGAGGAGGGUUAGAGUCCCGUCCAGCUCGUUCAGGAAGUUCCGCACAAAAGUUGACAAGUGAGUCGGGUAGCUUGGGACUGCUGCUCUAACUGGUGGUAAAUCUCAUCAAAGGCUAAAUAACGGUGGGAGACCGAUAGUGAACAAGUACCGCGAGGGAAAGAUGACAAGCACUUUGAAAAGAGGGUGAAAAGAGCCUGAAACCGUUACGAGGGAAGCGGAUUGCGUUGGAGUAUGGCUUGCUACAUGUUCAGCCGUUGCGGUGUACUCAUGUGAGCGGUUAUCCGUUGUGGCUUUUCUGCGGCGUUGCUGCGGGAGGGUGAGGGCUCCCCUGGAUGGGUGAGGACGACGGUGUGACGACGCGAUACGACCCGUCUUGAAACACGGACCAAGGAGUCUAGCACUAUUGCGAGUCGAAGGGUUUAAACCCGUGGGCGCAGUGAAAGCGAACUGUUAAGAAAACGAGCAGUUUGGGGCGGCAUAAAAUCGUUGAUUUUAAGACUGACCUGGAGCAGUUGUGCUGGGACCCGAAAGAUGGUGAACUAUGCCGGAGUAGGGCAAAGCCAGAAGAAAUUCUGGUGGAGGCUCGUAGCGGUGCUGACGUGCAAAUCGCUCGUCGAACUUGGGUAUAGGGGCGAAAGACUCAUCGAACCAUCUAGUAGCUGGUUCCCUCCGAAGUUUCUCUCAGGAUAGCGGGCCGACGGACGUUGUUUUGUGCGGUAAAGCGAAUGAUUAGCGUAUUUGGGGGCAUUUGGUCUUCGGGCGAUUCUCAAACUUUAAAUGCGCAAGGGUGCCGCUGCUUUGGUGAGCGGUACCGAUAAAAACGUCGGCCUCGUGGGCCACUUUUGGUAAGCAGAACUGGCGAUACGGGAUGAACCGUAAGCAUGGUUAAGGCGCCAAAUUGCCCGCUUAUAGAUCCCACAAAAGGUGUUGAUUCAUCGAGACAGCAGGACGGUGGCCAUGGAAGUCGGAAUCCGCCAAGGAGUGUGUAACAACUCACCUGCCGAAUGAAUUAGCCCUGAAAAUGGAUGGCGCUAAAGCGGGCAGCCGACACCAUGCCGUCUGUUUAAGGUAGACAGCAGAUGAGUAGGAGGGCGUGGUGGCCGUAUCGAAGCGUGCGUGCGAACGCGUGUGGAACGGCCACUAGUGCAGAUCUUGGUGGUAGUAGCAAAUAUUCAAGCGAGAUCCUUGAAGGGCGAAGCGGGGAAGGGUUCCACGCGAACAUUGAUUGGGCGUGGGUGAGUCGUUCCUAAGCCGGGUGGUCAUUGCUGAAUAACGGCGAAAGGGAAGCGGGUUUAAAUUCCCGCACACGGAUGUGGAGGCGGCGACGCUUUUUUUGUUGGGGCGAAGACGCUGGCGGUGGCGCUGGGCAGAGAUGUCUUUUCUGUUUAACCGUGUUGGGCGCGGUGUGGAAUCCGCUUGUCGGGAGAAACACGCGCGGGAGGUAAGAGCGCCGGGAGUUUUCCGGCGUCCAGCUCGCCAUCGACGGCCCUUGAAAAUUUGCCUGCUGGAAGGAUCCACGCCGUGGCGUACCGAUAACCGCAUCAGGUCCCCAAGGUGAACAGCCUCUGUCCGGUAUGAGUAAUGCAGGUAAGGGAAGUCGGCAAAUUGGACCCGUAACUUUGGGAAAAGGGUUGGCUCUAGUGCUGCGUGGGAGUGGUUGUCCGUUGUUGGCCGUGGUUGGCUAGCUGGGCGGGCUGCGAGGCGAGUUGUUCCCCUUUGCGUUUGUGAGGGGGGGGGGCGAGUGUUUGCGGCUUGGCUGGUGGGCCGGUGCGAUCGCUGCGGACGGCGCCCACGGUGUGCGGCAGACUAGAACUGCAACGGGCAGGGGGAAUCCGACUGUUUAAUUAAAACAAAGCAUUGCGAGGGCCGUGGGUGGUGAUGACGCAAUGUGAUUUCUGCUCAGUGCUCUGAAUGUCAAAGUGAAGAGAUUCAAGAAAGCGCGGGUAAACAGCGGGAGUAACUAUGACUCUCUUAAGGUAGCCAAAUGCCUCGUCAUCUAAUUAGUGACGCGCAUGAAUGGAUUAACGAGAUUCCUACUGUCCCUAUCUGCUUCUAGCGAAACGACAGCCGAGGGAACGGGCUCGGCGGAAUCGGCGGGGAAAGAAGACCCUGUUGAGCUUGACUCUAUUCUAAGUUUGUGAAGCAAGCUGGGAGGUGUAGCAUAGGUGGGAGGCGGGAGCCGGGCUUGAAAUACCACUACUCCCAGUCUUGCUUUACUUAGUGGGUGGGGGUGGGAAGGUCCCUGGGAAAGUGAAAAUUUUGCGGGGGUUUGUUCUGGAGCCAACUUGUGCGUGAGUGCGAGGACCACAGCCCAGUACACAUUUAGGAGGGGAGUUUGGCUGGGGCGGUACAUCUUCUACAAGACAACGAAGGUGUCCAAAGAUAAGCUCAGUGAGAACAGAAAUCUCACGUGGCGCAAAAGGGUAAAAGCUUGUUUGAUUUUGAUUUUCAGUGCGAGUCAAAACCGCGAAAGCGUGGCCUAUCGAUCCUUUCGAUGUUCGGGAUUUGAAGCGAGAGGUGUCAGAAAAGUUACCACAGGGAUAACUGGCUUGUGGCGGCCAAGCGUUCAUAG